rnacentral:rRNA from 1 species
CUUGCUUUCUUUGCUGGCGACCGGCGCACGGGUGAAUAACACGUAUCCAACCUGCCCUUUACUCGGGGAUAGCCUUUCGAAAGAAAGAUUAAUACCCGAUAGUAUAAUGAUUCCGCAUGGUUUCAUUAUUAAAGGAUUCCGGUAAAGGAUGGGGAUGCGUUCCAUUAGGUUGUUGGUGAGGUAACGGCUCACCAAGCCUUCGAUGGAUAGGGGUUCUGAGAGGAAGGUCCCCCACAUUGGAACUGAGACACGGUCCAAACUCCUACGGGAGGCAGCAUG